GCCGUCAGAGAGUAACAAUGGUCACCAUCUCUGAACCGGACCCUGGACUCUCUCAGGAACCUGAGGACACGUCUUUGGACCGGGAGGAGACCAGGAAGAGAAGAUUUGCUCUAUGGUUUCACAUCACUGUCAUUGUGAGCAUCGGACUGCUGAGUAUCCUCCUCAUCUCCCUGCGCUUCAACUCACCGUCACCCUGGAAAGAGGGGAGAGAGCACUUACUGGAUGAACUCGAUGAAUUGACACUUCAGGGCUGGAUGCUUCACGACAAGAGUCUCUACCGUGUUUCUACUACUAAGAAGGGCUGGAGGGCCAGUAGAGAAGACUGUCAGAAGAGAAAGGCAGACCUGGUGGUCAUCAACAGCAGAGAAGAACUGGUGUGUGUGUGUGUGUGUGUGUGUGUGUGUGUGUGUGUGUGUGUGUGUGUGUGUG